GAAUUCGCCCUUAGAGUUUGAUCCUGGCUCAGGAUGAACGCUGGCGGCGUGCCUAACACAUUCAAGUCGAACGGAGUUAUGGAAGAAGCUUGCUUUAGAAAUAACUUAGUGGCGGACGGGUGAGUGAUGCAUGAGCAACCUGCCUUAAAGAGGGGGAUAACACAGUGAAAACUGUGCUAAUACCGCAUGUGCUAUCGUGAAGGCAUCUUCGUGAUAGGAAAGGAGCAAUCCGCUUUAAGAUGGGCUCAUGUCUGAUUAGAUAGUUGGUGAGGUAACGGCUCACCAAGUCAACGAUCAGUAGCCGGACUGAGAGGUUGAACGGCCACAUUGGAACUGAGAUACGGUCCAGACUCCUACGGGAGGCAGCAGUGGGGAAUAUUGGGCAAUGGGCGAAAGCCUGACCCAGCAACGCCGCGUGAAGGAAGAAGGUCUUCGGAUUGUAAACUUCUUUUGUAAGGGACGAACAAUGACGGUACCUUACGAAUAAGCCACGGCUAACUACGUGCCAGCAGCCGCGGUAAUACGUAGGUGGCAAGCGUUAUCCGGAUUUACUGGGUGUAAAGGGUGAGUAGGCGGGUGAACAAGUCAGAUGUGAAAUGCAGGGGCUCAACCCCUGAACUGCAUUUGAAACUGUACAUCUUGAGUGUCGGAGAGGUAAUUGGAAUUCCCAGUGUAGCGGUGAAAUGCGUAGAGAUUGGGAGGAACACCAGUGGCGAAGGCGGAUUACUGGACGACAACUGACGCUGAGGCACGAAAGUGUGGGGAGCAAACAGGAUUAGAUACCCUGGUAGUCCACACCGUAAACGAUGAAUACUAGGUGUAGGCGAGAAAUCGUCUGUGCCGCAGUUAACACAAUAAGUAUUCCACCUGGGGAGUACGGCCGCAAGGUUGAAACUCAAAGGAAUUGACGGGAGCCCGCACAAGCAGUGGAGUAUGUGGAUUAAUUCGACGCAACGCGAAGAACCUUACCAGAGCUUGACAUCCCAGGAAGUCGGAGUAAUGUCUGAUGUGCCCUUCGGGGAACCUGGAGACAGGUGGUGCAUGGUUGUCGUCAGCUCGUGUCGUGAGAUGUUGGGUUAAGUCCCGCAACGAACGCAACCCUUACUGUUAGUUGCUACGCAAGAGCACUCUAACAGGACUGCCGUUGACAAAACGGAGGAAGGUGGGGACGACGUCAAAUCAUCAUGCCCCUUACGCCCUGGGCUUCACACGUACUACAAUGGCGUAAACAAAGGGGAGCAAUGCCGCGAGGCGGAGCAAAUCCCAAAAUAACGUCCCAGUUCAGAUUGCAGGCUGCAACUCGCCUGCAUGAAGCUGGAAUUGCUAGUAAUCGCGGAUCAGCAUGCCGCGGUGAAUACGUUCCCGGGCUUUGUACACACCGCCCGUCA
rnacentral:rRNA from 1 species